rfam:Chaetomium globosum CBS 148.51 scaffold_5 genomic scaffold, whole genome shotgun sequence.
CGGCCCUUCAUGAUGAACUAUUUCGGAUGUAAAACUUUACUUGUCUGAAAAGCGCAAACAAACAAUGUUGAGAUUUCCGUUGCCUUCCUUCUGAUCAAUGGCC